rnacentral:rRNA from 1 species
UACGUAGGGUGCAAGCGUUAAUCGGAAUUACUGGGCGUAAAGCGUGCGCAGGCGGUUUUGUAAGUCAGAUGUGAAAUCCCCGGGCUUAACCUGGGAACUGCGUUUGAAACUACAAGGGCUAGAGUGUGACAGAGGGGGGUGGAAUUCCACGUGUAGGCAGUGAAAUGCGUAGAGAUGUGGAGGAACACCGAUGGCGAAGGCAGCCCCCUGGGUUAACACUGACGCUCAGGCACGAAAGCGUGGGGAGCAACAGG